GGGACCAGCUUCCCAAAAGCAGGCAGGACCCCCUCGGUAGUGUUAAUGAAAAGUGUAACUUUAGCCUCCCAGCUGUAUGUCUCAAUCUAUAAUCCUUCCCCAAAAUCCUGGACAUAGAGCCGCCUCCCGCUCCCAUGGCGCUCCCAAACCUGGGCCGGGCCGGGCCCGCUCUGGUUUAGUCCUGUGUGCACCUCGCAACCUGAACACCAUUUCGGGCCCGCUUCCGUGGACUCCCGCCUCCCUUCUACAUAUACCGCCACAAUGGCGUGGGUGCGGUGACCCUGUGUGACAAGAACAAGGACAUUUUGGGUGAAGCCCGGGGUCUCUCUGUGGAGGUCAGAGUCCAAACAGACGCAGCCGGACGCACGGCCACAGUUUGGGAUGCAGAUGCACAGAGGCAGGAUGAGCAAACGAGAUCGCCCUGAGCUGACCUUUAACUUUGGCGGCGGCUAACGGCGGCCUGGCGCCCGAUCAAUGAACCGAGCACGCGGGCUGCCCAUCCCAUACCCCGUUCGCCCGGGCCAGGAAGGAGCGAACGCUGCCAGAAGCCUCGACACCAAGCCGAGCCGUCCAAAUUGACUCUCGCCCGUCCCGCGGGGAGACGGUGGGGACGUCGCCUCGCCCUGCCACGUACGAAAGGACAGCCAACAACAGUGGAUCUCUGCGGCUAAUAAUCUACUUGUCAAUGUCAGAAUAGAUCUGGAAAAAGCCCAGUGAAAGAUGACCACUUUGUGUAAUAGUAUGAAGCCAACACGACACUAU